rnacentral:rRNA from 1 species
GAAUCUGCCUGGUAGUGGGGGACAACGUUUCGAAAGGAACGCUAAUACCGCAUACGUCCUACGGGAGAAAGCAGGGGACCUUCGGGCCUUGCGCUAUCAGAUGAGCCUAGGUCGGAUUAGCUAGUUGGUGAGGUAAUGGCUCACCAAGGCGACGAUCCGUAACUGGUCUGAGAGGAUGAUCAGUCACACUGGAACUGAGACACGGUCCAGACUCCUACGGGAGGCAGCAGUGGGGAAUAUUGGACAAUGGGCGAAAGCCUGAUCCAGCCAUGCCGCGUGUGUGAAGAAGGUCUUCGGAUUGUAAAGCACUUUAAGUUGGGAGGAAGGGUUGUAGAUUAAUACUCUGCAAUUUUGACGUUACCGACAGAAUAAGCACCGGCUAACUCUGUGCCAGCAGCCGCGGUAAUACAGAGGGUGCAAGCGUUAAUCGGAAUUACUGGGCGUAAAGCGCGCGUAGGUGGUUUGUUAAGUUGGAUGUGAAAUCCCCGGGCUCAACCUGGGAACUGCAUCCAAAACUGGCAAGCUAGAGUAUGGUAGAGGGUGGUGGAAUUUCCUGUGUAGCGGU